rnacentral:snoRNA from 1 species
GCAUGAGUUUGGAUUUAUGGUAGGCCAUCAGUCCUUGCCAUCGCAUAGUGACCCCUGCCAGAGAAAACUGGUUAGAAACCAUUGCUUGGCUUAUAUUCUUGCUGGCUCCUGCUACUGAAAUUGGCUGAACAGUG